GGCUAUUCCCCAUCAGAAAUUCAUGAAAUCUUGGAAAGUUAAAAUCCCCAGAUGAAGGGUUUACUCUCUCUUGUUCUCUUGCUCCUCUCUUGCUUUGUGACCAGCACACACCCAUGCAUUUGCUUGUUCUCUCUACAUAGCCAUGUGGCCUUAGGCAGCCACAUGGUCCAUAUCCAUGCAGACUUCACACACAGGAUGCUAGACUGGACUGUAUUUUAAUAUGAAGCAGAAAUUAUGGGCAAUGGCCUUAAUUCUACCCCUGCUGAAGACAAGAUUGGACUUCUUCCAUAGCAACACAGGCAGAGAUGGGACCUUGGAGGGGAACCCCUCUUAAUUUUACAUCAUCAAUAAAGCUUUCCAAGGAACCCCAUCUUCCCAUUGGAGCUUCAGGAAACUCUUUUCCUCAUGGCACCCCAAGAACUCCACUUCCAUCAAUAACACUCUUACUUGUUUCAACAGGUGAUACAGGAAAAGAGUGGUCCUAUGAGCUAUAGCAGCCAAUGAAUGGCCUGGGAUUGCACACUGGGAGGCAGCCAGGACCAAGAGGUGAAGAGGAGGAAAAUGGGAAUAGGAAGAAAGAAAAUGGCAAGAAAGAGGACAGGAGAAAGGUAAGUAGAAGGAUGGGUAGAACAGAAAUGUCUUUGUUUAUUCUGGUCGCUAUCACAAAAUACCAUGGGUGGCAUUAAACAACUGGAAUUUAUUUCUCACGAGUUUGGAGGCUAAAAUCUGAGAUCAAGGUGUUUGCAUCAACAGUUUCUCUGUCUAGUGAGGGCCUCCUAUGGAGUGGGGGAAGGGGUGCUAAUCCCAUUCCUGAGGGCUCUGCCCCAUGACUUAAUCACCUCCUAAAGGCCCCAUCUCCAAAUAUCAUCACCUUGGGGGUUAAGUUUCAACAUAAGAAUUGGGGGAAGCAGGGGGCACAAACCUUCAAACCAUAGUAGAGGGGGGAAGACAGGUUUUAAACAAAGGAUUAGCAACUUUCUCCUAGCCCUCUCUUGCAAUUGUCCUUUGUUUGUAUGUACAUUUGUAAAUGAAUAGAAGAGGAAGAAAUGGAAAGAGGAAAAGAAAAAAGAAAAAAAGUCAUUAAUCUGGGGACAGGUGGUGGUGAGCCCCUGGGAAUUUUAAAGCACAUGCAUGUAUUACAAGAAUAAACUUCUCUGUAUUGCU